rnacentral:rRNA from 1 species
UACGAAGGGGGCUAGCGUUGUUCGGAAUCACUGGGCGUAAAGCGCACGUAGGCGGAUUGUUAAGUCGGGGGUGAAAUCCUGAGGCUCAACCUCAGAACUGCCUUCGAUACUGGCAAUCUCGAGUCCGGAAGAGGUUGGUGGAACAGCUGGUGUAGAGGUGAAAUUCGUAGAUAUUAGCUAGAACACCAGUGGCGAAGGCGGCCAACUGGUCCGGUACUGACGCUGAGGUGCGAAAGCGUGGGGAGCAAACAGG